GUACGAGCGGCGGACGGGUGGAGUAACACGUGGACAAUCUGCCCCCCGGCCCGGGAUAGCCCAGGGAAACCUGGAUUAAUACCGGAUGAGACGGGACCCGCGAUGGCGGGACCCGGGAAAGGCGCUGCGGCGCCGCCGGGGGAUGAGCCUGCGUCCCAUUAGCUAGACGGCGGGGUAACGGCCCACCGUGGCGACGAUGGGUAGCCGGCCUGAGAGGGUGGACGGCCACAUUGGAACUGAGACACGGUCCAGACUCCUACGGGAGGCAGCAGCUAAGAAUCUUCCGCAAUGGGCGAAAGCCUGACGGAGCGACGCCGCGUGAACGAAGAAGGCCGUGAGGUUGUAAAGUUCUUUUCGGGAGGGGGAACAACCGUGGCAGGGAAUGGCCGCGGGAUGACGUGAAUCCCGGAAUAAGCCCCGGCUAACUACGUGCCAGCAGCUGC
rnacentral:rRNA from 1 species